rnacentral:rRNA from 1 species
AGCGAACGCUGGCGGCAGGCCUAACACAUGCAAGUCGAACGAACCUUUCGGGGUUAGUGGCGGACGGGUGAGUAACACGUGGGAACGUGCCUUUAGGUUCGGAAUAACUCAGGGAAACUUGUGCUAAUACCGAAUGUGCCCUUCGGUGGAAAGAUCUAUCGCCUUUAGAGCGGCCCGCGUCUGAUUAGCUAGUUGGUUGAGGUAAUGGCUCACCAAGGCGACGAUCAGUAGCUGGUCUGAGAGGAUGAUCAGCCACAUUGGGACUGAGACACGGCCCAAACUCCUACGGGAGGCAGCAGUGGGGAAUCUUGCGCAAUGGGCGAAAGCCUGACGCAGCCAUGCCGCGUGAAUGAUGAAGGUCUUAGGAUUGUAAAAUUCUUUCACCGGGGACGAUAAUGACGGUACCCGGAGAAGAAGCCCCGGCUAACUUCGUG